GAUGAACGCUGGCGGCGUGCCUAAUACAUGCAAGUCGAGCGAACCACUUCGGUGGAGAGCGGCGAACGGGUGAGUAACACGUAGGUCAUCUACCCAUUAGACGGGGAUAACGUUUGGAAACGAACGCUUAUACCGGAUAGGAUGCAAAUUUAAAGGUGCUUUCGGGCACCGCUAAUGGAUGAGCCUUCGGCGCAUUAGCUAGUUGGUAAGGUAAGAGCUUACCAAGGCGACGAUGCGUAGCCGACCUGAGAGGGUGAACGGCCACACUGGGACUGGGCAACGGCCCAGACUCCUACGGGAGGCAGCAGUAGGGAAUCUUCGGCAAUGGACGAAAGUCUGACCGAGCAACGCCGCGUGAAUGAAGAAGGCCUUCGGGUCGUAAAAUUCUGUUAUAAGGGGAGAAAGGUUAGAGUAGGAAAUGGCUCUAAAGUGACGGUACCUUAUGAGAAAGCCACGGCUAACUACGUGCCAGCAGCCGCCGUAA
rnacentral:rRNA from 1 species